UGGAUAGUGAGGAGGUAAUUAUGCAUAUCCAACACUUGAUCCGAGGUUGGCUUGAGCCGGCCGUAUGAUGUCAUCUUUGCAUCUGAAUCCAU